GCGGAAUUAGUUCAGUGGUAGAACAUCACCUUGCCAAGGUGGGGGUCGCGAGUUCGAAUCUCGUAUUCCGCU
rfam:Aerococcus sanguinicola strain CCTG43001, complete genome.